GAUGAACGCUGGCGGCGUGCCUAAUACAUGCAAGUCGAACGAUGAAGCCGGAGCUUGCUCUGGUGAAUUAGUGGCGAACGGGUGAGUAACACGUGAGUAACCUGCCCUUGACUCUGGGAUAACUGCGGGAAACUGUAGCUAAUACCGGAUACGACCCUCGGAGGCAUCUCCUGGGGGUGGAAAGAAUUUCGGUCAAGGAUGGCUCGCGGCCUAUCAGCUAGUUGGUGAGGUAAAGGCUCACCAAGGCGACGACGGGUAGCCGGCCUGAGAGGGGGACCGGCCACACUGGGACUGAGACACGGCCCAGACUCCUACGGGAGGCAGCAGUGGGGAAUAUUGCACAAUGGGCGCAAGCCUGAUGCAGCAACGCCGCGUGAGGGAUGACGGCCUUCGGGUUGUAAACCUCUUUUAGCAGGGAAGAAGCGAAAGUGACGGUACCUGCAGAAAAAGCACCGGCUAACUACGUGCCAGCCGCCGCCGUAA
rnacentral:rRNA from 1 species